UACGUAGGGGGCAAGCGUUGUCCGGAAUCAUUGGGCGUAAAGAGCGUGUAGGCGGCUCGAUAAGUCUGCUGUGAAAGUCCAGGGCUCAACCCUGGAAGGCCGGUGGAAACUGUCGGGCUAGAGUCCGGAAGAGGCGAGUGGAAUUCCCGGUGUAGCGGUGAAAUGCGCAGAUAUCGGGAGGAACACCAAUGGCGAAGGCAGCUCGCUGGGACGGUACUGACGCUGAGACGGCGAAAAGCGUGGGGAGCAAACAGGGAUUAAGAAACCCCAGGUACGUC
rnacentral:rRNA from 1 species